UUGAACUUGAGAGUUUGAUCCUGGCUCAGAACGAAUGCUGGCGGCAUGCUUAACACAUGCAAGUCGAACGAAGACCCGGAGCUUGCUCCGGAUCUCUUAGUG
rnacentral:rRNA from 1 species